rnacentral:rRNA from 1 species
ACGAACGCUGGCGGCGCGCCUAACACCUGCAAGUCGAACGAGCGAGAGAGAGCUUGCUUUCUCGAGCGAGUGGCGAACGGGUGAGUAACGCGUGAGGAACCUGCCUCAAAGAGGGGGACAACAGUUGGAAACGACUGCUAAUACCGCAUAAGCCCACGACCCGGCAUCGGGUAGAGGGAAAAGGAGCAAUCCGCUUUGAGAUGGCCUCGCGUCCGAUUAGCUAGUUGGUGAGGUAACGGCCCACCAAGGCGACGAUCGGUAGCCGGACUGAGAGGUUGAACGGCCACAUUGGGACUGAGACACGGCCCAGACUCCUACGGGAGGCAGCAGUGGGGAAUAUUGCACAAUGGGGGAAACCCUGAUGCAGCGACGCCGCGUGGAGGAAGAAGGUCUUCGGAUUGUAAACUCCUGUUGUUGAGGAAGAUAAUGACGGCACUCAACAAGGAAGUGACGGCUAACUACGUG